UCGAGCGGACAGAUGGGAGCUUGCUCCCUGAUGUUAGCGGCGGACGGGUGAGUAACACGUGGGUAACCUGCCUGUAAGACUGGGAUAACUCCGGGAAACCGGGGCUAAUACCGGAUGCUUGUUUGAACCGCAUGGUUCAAACAUAAAAGGUGGCUUCGGCUACCACUUACAGAUGGACCCGCGGCGCAUUAGCUAGUUGGUGAGGUAACGGCUCACCAAGGCAACGAUGCGUAGCCGACCUGAGAGGGUGAUCGGCCACACUGGGACUGAGACACGGCCCAGACUCCUACGGGAGGCAGCAGUAGGGAAUCUUCCGCAAUGGACGAAAGUCUGACGGAGCAACGCCGCGUGAGUGAUGAAGGUUUUCGGAUCGUAAAGCUCUGUUGUUAGGGAAGAACAAGUACCGUUCGAAUAGGGCGGUACCUUGACGGUACCUAACCAGAAAGCCACGGCUAACUACGUGCCAGCAGCCGCGGUAAUACGUAGGUGGCAAGCGUUGUCCGGAAUUAUUGGGCGUAAAGGGCUCGCAGGCGGUUUCUUAAGUCUGAUGUGAAAGCCCCCGGCUCAACCGGGGAGGGUCAUUGGAAACUGGGGAACUUGAGUGCAGAAGAGGAGAGUGGAAUUCCACGUGUAGCGGUGAAAUGCGUAGAGAUGUGGAGGAACACCAGUGGCGAAGGCGACUCUCUGGUCUGUAACUGACGCUGAGGAGCGAAAGCGUGGGGAGCGAACAGGAUUAGAUACCCUGGUAGUCCACGCCGUAAACGAUGAGUGCUAAGUGUUAGGGGGUUUCCGCCCCUUAGUGCUGCAGCUAACGCAUUAAGCACUCCGCCUGGGGAGUACGGUCGCAAGACUGAAACUCAAAGGAAUUGACGGGGGCCCGCACAAGCGGUGGGAGCAUGUGGUUUUAAUUCGAAAGCAACGCGAAAAAACCUUUACCAGGGCCUUGGACAUCCUUCUGACAAAUCCUAAAAGAAAAGAACGUCCCCCUUCCGGGGGCAAAAU
rnacentral:rRNA from 1 species